AGCUUCAUGCUCGAGUAGUAAAGACAUUUGCCUUUCAUCCUGGAGUCCUGGGUUCGAUUCCCAGGCGAAGAGCUA